AUUGAACGCUGGCGGCAGGACUAACACAUGCAAGUCGAACGAGUGGCGGACGGGUGAGUAAUGUCUGGGAAACUGCCCGAUGGAGGGGGAUAAAUACUGGAAACGGUAGCUAAUACCGCAUACCAUCGGAUGUGCCCAGAUGGGAUUAGCUAGUAGGUGGGGUAACGGCUCACCUAGGCGACGAUCCCUAGCUGGGCUGAGAGGAUGACCAGCCACACUGGAACUGAGACACGGUCCAGACUCCUACGUGAGGGAGCAGAGGGGAAUAUUGCACAAUGGGCGCAAGCCUGAUGCAGCCAUGCCGCGUGUAUGAAGAAGGCCUUCGUGUUGUAAAGUACUUUCAGCGAGGAGGCGUUACUCGCAGAAGAAGCACCGGCUAACUCCGUGCCAGCCGCCGCGGUAAUAC
rnacentral:rRNA from 1 species